rnacentral:sRNA from 1 species
GCGCCAAUCCAAUCGAGAGCAACGAUCAUUUGUGGCGGUUAAACGAUAGACAGUUUCUCCAGAUCCACUUCAGCGGCAACGUGACUCGGCCUUUUCCCCGGCUCACGGACCAGCUAAGCUUCACUUUCACUACUAAUGACACUUGAAAGAAGUUAUUUGACCAAAUCGGCAGGACUACUGCUUGUGGCAGCGAUGGACUCAGCAUAGUAGGAUGCUCAUCCAGGGUCCGACUAAACAUUCCUCCUGCUUGUUGGCUAAGGCCACCUGUUCAAUAUAUGGAAAAUUGUAAUAUUGCUAAUACUC